GGAUCGAUGAAGAGAACAGUUGGCUGAGGAUGCUCAGGGUUCCCUUGGUCU
rnacentral:snoRNA from 1 species